CAGGAAUUGUAUCACUUUAAAACUUUCAUGAGAACUGACUGGAUUGUGUGUUCUUGGUAUAUCUCUACUGUUUUGACAAUACAUAUAUCAGAAAUACCGUAGUAUUUGGAAAUAAUUCGCAAAAAUCUGUACAGAUGAAAUACACAGCGCUCCUAACGGUAAUAAGUGUUACCCUCUACCUGACGUGCACGUGCGUUAACGGCCGUGUCAUAGCCCGACGCCGGUUCGUCAUAGACCGACAUUUCGAGGAGAGCAGGUGUGCUUACGACCAGGACUACAACACCAUGUGUUACGGCUGUGGGCGACAGUUCAGCAGCAUGGAACUCUUCACACAGUGUUGUAACGAAGAAAGAGAAGUGGCGAGUUUCUGUAGUACAAUAUACGGAAGAAGGUGACGAUAAGUCACCGUCAAUACAAACAUAUGGGACAGUGCAAGAUUUUUAUGGCAAAAACAAAAAACAAAAAAAAACACACACACACACAAUUAUUAAAUAAGUGCGAUUUUGGAAAGGAAUAAUGGAUGACAUUUUAACUCAGCCUACUUCUCGUUGUGAAUGCGCAGAACUCUGUGACCAAGGGAUAGCAGAAUUAACUGUUUAUAUUCUUGCGCAUGAAUACAUUGAAGUAGAAAGGGGAAAUAUUCCCGGAGGACAUAAUCUCGUCUGACACGUGCAGCAUACGUGUAUGUUAUGUUAACAGAUAUUUGGUAUUGACUUGUAUUGAAGUGUUUCUUGAGAUAAAUACUUUAUGGAAUAACCGAAUCUGAAAACUUUUAUUUUCUUACGUGAAUCACAGGCGAGCGAGGACGUUUUGUAUGCUCGCUGUUAUCGUGACUGAACAUUGUUGGAAUGCCAUUGGAAAUGUGUUUUAUUUUAUUUUAUUUUAUACAUUAAAAUUAAGCUCGUUUUGAAUUUU